rnacentral:rRNA from 1 species
GACGGGGGGGGCAAGCGUUGUUCGGAAUUACUGGGCGUAAAGGGCUCGUAGGUGGCCAACUAAGUCAGACGUGAAAUCCCUCGGCUUAACCGGGGAACUGCGUCUGAUACUGGAUGGCUUGAGUUCGGGAGAGGGAUGCGGAAUUCCAGGUGUAGCGGUGAAAUGCGUAGAUAUCUGGAGGAACACCGGUGGCGAAGGCGGCAUCCUGGACCAACACUGACGCUGAGGAGCGAAAGCCAGGGGAGCAAACGGG